rnacentral:tRNA from 1 species
GCGGCGGUCGUCUAGCCUGGACUAGGACUCCGGCCCCCCGAGCCGGUGAUCCCGGGUUCAAAUCCCGGCCGCCGCACCA